CACAAGGACACCAACGUUAUGGGUGGUGGUGGUUCCUGGUUCCUUCCCGGUUUCCACCCCUUGGUGGAGAGUAUCGUGAUCGGCUGAUUCCGAAGGGGCUUCUAUGAAAUGUGAAUAUCUCUGCUAUCAUUCUCCAGAAGUCGGCGAGGGUCGACGGCAAGGGGAGCUGGGAUGCGAAAUAUUGGCUCUGAGAUCUCACCCCGUCGACGUAGACCCCUGAGAUGUAGUCGCUCUCGAGGUCGCUCGGCGGGUACCUCUUCAGACCUGUUGUCGUCGGACAAGGCCUUCAUCAAGGUGGACGGCUGCAGAGCUUCGUCCUGCCAGGAAGUGUCUUGAAGCCUGCGGAAGAAAAAAUGUAUAUACAGAGGUGCAUCUUUCUUUUGGACACUACCAGAAAUUUGGAGCAAGGUACUUUUUGUUCACCUCUGACGUUGGAUCGGCAGCUGCUGCUUCAGCUCCUUGAUCCUGGUCAGCAAGGUUCCAUUACACGGUAAUGUGGUUGGCAAGGACAAGAGACACUCCAUCAGAGCCAGCGAGGACGUCCACGACCUGGAAGAAGAGGUCCUCGAACCUGAAGGUGACUCCGUAAGACAUUUCGGAGUUUAGACUUUUGUAUAUCUUUUAU